AACGAACGCUGGCGGCAGGCCUAACACAUGUAAGUCGAACGGACGUAGCAAUACGUUAGUGGCUCACGGGAGAGUAACGCGUGGGAACCUACCUUUUGGUUCGGGAUAACAUCGGGAAACUGGUGCUAAUACCGGAUAAGCCCUUCGGGGGAAAGAUUUAUUGCCGAAAGAUGGGCCCGCGUUGGAUUAGCUAGUUGGUGAGGUAAUGGCUCACCAAGGCAACGAUCCAUAGCUGGUCUGUGAGGAUGAUCAGCCUCACUGGGACUGAGACACGGCCCAGACUCCUACGGGAGGCAGCAGUGGGGAAUAUUGGACAAUGGGGGAAACCCUGAUCCAGCCAUGCCGCGUGAAUGAUGAAGGCCUUCGGGUUGUAAAGUUCUUUUGGUGGGGACGAUGAUGACGGUACCCACAGAAUAAGCUCCGGCUAACUUCGUGCCAGCCGCCGCGGUAA
rnacentral:rRNA from 1 species